UACGGAGGGUGCAAACGUUGCUCGGAAUCAUUGGGCGUAAAGCGCGCGUAGGCGGCCCGACAAGUUGGACGUGAAAGCCCUGGGCUCAACCCAGGAAGUGCAUCCAAAACUGUCGGGCUAGAGUUCCGGAGGGGGCCAGAGAAUUCCCGGUGUAGAGGUGAAAUUCGUAGAUAUCGGGAGGAACACCAGUGGCGAAGGCGCUGGCCUGGUCGGACACUGACGCUGAGGCGCGAAAGCGUGGGGAGCAAACAGG
rnacentral:rRNA from 1 species